UAACACAUGCAAGUCGAACGAGAAAGUUUCUUCGGAGAACGAGUACAGUGGCAGACGGGUGAGUAAUGCAUAGAUAAUCUACCCGGAAGCAGGGAAUAACACACUGAAAAGCGUGCUAAUACCCUAUAAUGUCUGCUUUUAUUAAGAAGGCAGAUGAAAGGAGGGGCUACCUAUAAGGUACCUUCCACUUUCGGAUGAGUCUAUGUCCUAUUAGCUUGAUGGUGGGGUAACGGCCUACCAUGGCGAUGAUGGGUAGCCGAGCUGAGAGGCUGAUCGGCCACACUGGAACUGAAACACGGUCCAGACUCCCACGGGAGGCUGCAGUGGAGAAUUUUGCGCAAUGGGCGAAAGCCUGACGCAGCGACGCCGCGUGAGGGAUGAAGGUCUUCGGAUCGUAAACCUCUGUCAAGAAGGAGUAAACGUGCGCAUACGAAUAAUAUGUGCAUCUGACAUUACUUCUAGAGGAAGUCCCGGCUAAUUACGUGCCAGCAGCCGCGGUAAUACGUAGGGGGCAAGCAUUACUCGGAAUUACUGGGUGUAAAGCGAGCGUAGGCGGUUUGGUAAGUUAGUGGUGAAAGUCCCCGGCUUAACCGGGGGAUUGCCAUUAAAACUGCCAGACUAGAGGACAAGAGAGGAAAGUGGAAUUCCUAGUGUAGCGGUGGAAUGCGUAGAGAUUAGGAAGAACACCGGAAGCGAAAGCGACUCUCUGGUUCGAUACUGACGCUGAGGCGCGAGAGCGUAGGUAGCGAACGGGAUUAGAUACCCCGGUAGUCUACGCUGUAAAUGAUGGGCACUGGAUGGGGGGGGCGCCGAUAGCUCUCUCCGUCGAAGUUAAUGCGUUAAGUGCCCCGCCUGGGGACUACGGUCGCAAGGUUAAAACUCAAAGGAAUUGACGGGGGCCCACACAAGCGGUGGAGGAUGCGGCUUAAUUCGAGGACACGCGUAGAACCUUACCGAGGCUUGACAUGCAGGGAUUAAUCCGGCGAAAGCCGGAGGAUUACCUUACGGUGUAACCUGUACAGGUGCUGCAUGGCUGUCGACAGUUCGUGUCGUGAGAUGUUAGGUUAAGUCCUGAAACGAGCGAAACCCCUGUGCUUAAUUGCCAGCGCGUUAUGGCGGGGACAUUAAGCAGACUGCCUCGGCUAACGGGGAGGAAGGUGGGGAUGACGUCAAGUCAGCAUGGCCCUUAUGCUUCGGGCCGCACGCGUCCUACAAUGGGCAGUACAAUGGGGACCAAUCCCGCGAGGGGGAGGAAAUCCGAGAAAGCUGUCCUCAGUUCGGAUUGCAGGCU
rnacentral:rRNA from 1 species